CUUUCUUGGCAGCAUCAGCAGUAACAAAGAUGUCUUAGUUGUUAACUUGCCAUAGCAUUUGGGGUCUGAGUGACUUAUCUUCUGCCUGUGGGAUGCUUUUGCUAAAAUGAAAAAGGGAACCAGGUAUUUAGGAGUUAUUCUUAUGUGUGGGAGAAGCGGCUUUGUGUCCAUGGGUGCCGUUCGUGGUAUUAGGAUGCCUCAUGUGUCCCCUACAGCGUCUUCCUUCUUACCAGAUGCUCCACAUCAAGAAGCAGAGUGUCCUGAGUGUAGCUGCUGAAGGGGCUAAUGUGUGUCGCCAUGGGAAGCUGUGUUGGCUUCAGGUGGCCACAAAUAGCCGAGUUUACUUAUUUGACAUUUUCCUUCUGGGAAGUCGAGCUUUCAACAAUGGACUUCAGAUGAUAUUAGAAGACAAAAGAAUUUUAAAGGCAAGUGUAUAAGCUGGGCCCACUACUAAUAAGAUUAGCAGCCAGGUUCUAAUUACUCCAUUUUUAUCUUCUGAUUCCUUAGGUUAUCCAUGAUUGUCGUUGGCUUUCUGAUUGCCUUUUUCAUCAGUAUGGGAUUACGCUGAAUAAUGUCUUUGACACCCAGGUACAUAAUGGGAAACAUUGUGUUCAAACCAGUGCAUGUAGGUUCUGUUAAGUGCUGAAAAUCUUUUUGGUGUGUGCCUCUCUCCUUCCCACUUCUCAUGUUUGUACAGGAUUUGAGAACAUUUGGUAAACUACAAAAAACACUGCAGAAAAGCUAGUUAAAAUUGCCUAGGAGCCAGGUGUGGUGGCACAUGCCUGUAAAUCCCAGCCCUUGGGAGGCUGAGGCAAGAGGAUUACUGCAAGUUUGAGGCCAGCCUCGUCUUUACAGUGAGUUCAAUGCCAGUGUGAACUACAUAGUGAGACCCUGUCUCAAAAAAAAAAAAAAAAAGUUUAGGAAUCUAUUUUCCUUAUUUUGCUCCAGAACUUGGCAAAUGACAAACAAGAUUCAUGCUCCAGCUUGGCCUUGUGGUACACACUUGUAAUUACAACAUUCAGGAAGCUGAGACAGGAGGAUUGCUGUGAAUGUGAGGCCAGCCUGGGCUACAUAAUGAAUUCAAAGCCAGGGACUGGGGAUUUAGCUUAGCACAGCGCCUGCCUGGCAAGCGCAAGGUCGUGAGUUCAAUUCUCCGUACCGGAAAAAAAAAACAAAAAAAUUUAAAAAAAAUAAAAAAAGAAUUCAAAGCCAGCCUGAACUACAUAGUGAGACAUUAUCUCAAACAAACAAAUCUAUGCUCCAUAGCAUUCACAAAUUUGAGCAGUUUUGGGCAUAUGAGAAGUGUGACAUGGUAGACUUAGGAUAAAAUGAGAAGUCACAUCUCUGCCUUUACCACAUAUGUACUUCCGUGGAGUAAGCAGUUCUAGUGUGAUGUAGCCUGAGAGAUGUAAUUUGACCCUCAUCCAGUGGACCUUAGAGAAGUGAGAAAUCCCUGGACUAGAGCAGCUUUUAAAGCUGAGCUAAGUUCUCUGGUUUGUUCGUGAUAGCAGUAAAACCGCUAGUUUCCAUUGCCUGUCUCCCUUUCCUCCUUUUUUUCUUCUUUCUUCCUUUUCUCCCUUUAUCUUUCUUUUCUUCAUUCUGCUUUUUUGUGCUGGGGCUUAAAAUCAAGGCUGCCUCAUACAUGUUAAUCCCAUAUUCUUUCCCUGAACUGCCCCUCAGCCCCUGGGUAUGUUUUCUUUAGUUUAUUCUAGUCUUUUGGUUUUAGGUUUAUGCCAGUGAAAGGAAGUUGUAAAUUUUUCUUUGAGGCAGGGUCUUGCAAAAUUACCCUGGCUGACCUCAAACUUAAUUUUCCUUCUGCUCCAGCCUCCCAGAGUACUGGGAUUACAGGGACAUGCCACCAGACCUGGCCACCAUCAGAUUUCUUGAUUAAAGUUUGUAUGUA
ensembl:lincRNA